GAUGUCACCCUAUGGAGAAUGUCACCCUAAGGAGGAUGUCACCCCAUGGAGGUUGAUGUCACCCUAUGGAGGAUGUCACCCUAUGGAGGAGGUCACCCUAUGGAGGUUGAUGUCACCCUAUGGAGGAUGUCACCUGGAGGUUGAUGUCACCCUAUGGAGGUGGAUGUCACCCUAAAGAGGAUGUCACCUCAUGGAGAAUGUCACCUGGAAGUUGAUGUCACCGUAUGGAGGUGGAUGUCACCCUAUGGAGGAUGUCACCUGGAGGUGGAUGUCACCCUAAGGAGGAUGUCACCCUAUGGAGAUGUUACCUGGAAGCGGAUGUCACCUGGUGGCAGAUGUCACCCCAUGGAGGAUGUCAGUCACCAUCUCGAUGUCACCUGGAGGCAGAUGUCACCCUGCGAUGGAUGUCACCCCAUGGACGAUGUCACCCCAUGGUGGAUGUCACCCCAUGGAGGAUGUCAGUUGCUGGCUCGAUGUCACCUGGAGGAGAAUGUCACCCCAUGGCUCACUGGAUGUCACCCUAAUGGAUGUCACCCCAUUUGAUGUCACCCAUUCGGAUGUCACCCCAAUGGGUGUCACCCCAUUAGAUGUCACCCCACUGGAUGUCACCCCAUUUGAUGUCACCCCAUUCGAUGUCACCCCAUUGGACGUCACCCCACGGCUCAAUGGAUGUCACCCGAUUGGAUGUCACCCCAUUGGAUGUCACCCUAAUGGGUGUCACCCCAAUGAAUGUCACCCAUUCGGAUGUCACCCCAAUGGGUGUCACCCCAUUGGAUGUCACCUGCUGUGACCUCAGGGCACGCGUGGCCUUUGCUUUGUACCCGCCUGGGAUUAAUUACCCUUUGGAAAAGUGAUUAAAAAUGCUAAUUUACAUCUCUGCGAACCCCGAGUGGCGUUUUGGGGUCCCCAAACCCCAUUCCUAGACAGAACCGCCGAGUGGAUCCAUAACGCGCAUGCUGAUUGGCUACUUGCAGAGCACGCCUUCGCUCUCGGCCAAUCCCUGCGCGCCUUUCAGAACCGCGGGGGCGGGCCUACCCGUCUGGCCCCGCCCCUCUCGGGGGCGUGUAGCCAAUCAGGGCGGCCGUAGCAUUUUGACGUCUCAGCUCCGCCAAUGGCGUUGUGAGAAACAUAACGAGCAAGGCUUCCGUCCCUCCCUGGUGGUCUAGUGGUUAGGAUUCGGCGCUCUCACCGCCGCGGCCCGGGUUCGAUUCCCGGUCAGGGAAGAUUUGUUUUCUCUCUUUUCUCCCCAUUUUGACCCAUUUCUUCCUAUUUUUUUUUAUCCUUUGGGCCAUUUUCUUCCUCCUUUUUACCCUUUCCUCCUCUUUUUCUCCCUCUUUUCUCCCCAUUUUGACCCUUCCCCAUUUCCCCCUUUGUUUCCUCCUUUUCAGUUUUCCUCCUCCUUUCCAUUUCCCCCCCUUUUUCCUCCUCCUUUUGCAUUUUUUUCCUUUUUUUCUCCUAUUUUUUUCAGUUUUCCUCCUAUUUUUCCCCUUUUUCCCUCCUCAUUUCGCUCUUUUCCUCCUUUUUCUGUAUUCUUUUCCCCCUUUUCCUCCUAUUUUGCCCCAUUUCCCCCAUUUUUUCCUCCCCCUUUUUCCUCCCUGCCCUUCCCCAUUUUGCCCAUUUCUCCAUGUUUCCUCCUCAUUUUCACUUCAUUUCUUCUCUCUUUGAAACUUUUUCCUCUCUUAUCCCCCUUUUCACUCCUCCUCCCCCUCUUCCUCUUUUCCUUUUGACAUUUCUCUCCCAUUUCUCCCCUUCAUUUUGAUUUCCUCCCCCCUUUUUCCUCUCUCCUUUUU
rnacentral:tRNA from 1 species